UUGAAAGGGAAACGAUUGAAGUCAGUCGUACCAGCGGGAAAUCAACCUUUCGAGUGGGGGUUUUGGAGUUUUGAAGAGUGUCAAAACCUUUGAGAUUUCAAAAUAUUCGCUCUUUUGGUGUACUGGUCUCGUGGGUAGGUUAACAUCGAUUUUGAUCAUCAUAAAAAGAUUGGAGGAAUGUAGCUUCGAUCUUGUAUUGAAGUGUUAUAGCCUUUGGUAAAUGUGAUGAUUAGGAUCGAGGAUUGCAACGAAUACCCUUUUGGGCUAUCCGCCUGAUCUCUGAUACGUGGCCUUGGUAUCGAAAGCGUGCUUAUGGUAUUGAGGUAUUACGGUCAAAAGGUUAGAACGGAUUACAUUCGUUAAGGAUGUUGACGUA
rnacentral:rRNA from 1 species